rnacentral:rRNA from 1 species
UGGGGAAUUUUGGACAAUGGGGGCAACCCUGAUCCAGCAAUGCCGCGUGAGUGAAGAAGGCCUUCGGGUUGUAAAGCUCUUUUGUCAGGGAAGAAACGGUAGUAGCGAAUAACUACUACUAAUGACGGUACCUGAAGAAUAAGCACCGGCUAACUACGUGCCAGCAGCCGCGGUAAUACGUAGGGUGCAAGCGUUAAUCGGAAUUACUGGGCGUAAAGCGUGCGCAGGCGGUUGUGUAAGUCAGAUGUGAAAUCCCCGGGCUCAACCUGGGAAUUGCAUUUGAGACUGCACGGCUAGAGUGUGUCAGAGGGGGGUAGAAUUCCACGUGUAGCAGUGAAAUGCGUAGAUAUGUGGAGGAAUACCGAUGGCGAAGGCAGCCCCCUGGGAUAACACUGACGCUCAUGCACGAAAGCGUGGGGAGCAAACAGGAUUAGAUACCCCCGUAGUCCCUGAG